UACGAAGGGGGCUAGCGUUGCUCGGAAUUACUGGGCGUAAAGCGCACGUAGGCGGAUCUUUAAGUCAGAGGUGAAAUCCCAGGGCUCAACCUUGGAACUGCCUUUGAUACUGGAGAUCUUGAGUUCGGGAGAGGUGAGUGGAACUGCGAGUGUAGAGGUGAAAUUCGUAGAUAUUCGCAAGAACACCAGUGGCGAAGGCGGCUCACUGGCCCGGUACUGACGCUGAGGUGCGAAAGCGUGGGGAGCAAACAGG
rnacentral:rRNA from 1 species